rnacentral:lncRNA from 1 species
GAAAAGACAACUUUAGAAAGGGAUGCUGCUAAUGAAAUGGCAACAAUUGGAGAAGCAAUGCCAGUUGGUUUUCAGUGAAAAUGAAGUCUUAAUGAAACGUCAGGAGUUGCAAAAUCAAAAGUUAGAAGAGCUCACAGCAUUCUACUGUCAAUGAUAGCCGAAGAAAGUUGAGUGAAUUACGGGAAAAGACGCAAGAAGAAAUCAACUCCCUCGCUUCUCAGCUGCAGGGUCUGCGAAAUGAGAAUAACAAUCUGUCGAUGCAAUUAGCAGAUUGUAAGUUGGUUAAUGCGCAAUUAGAAACAGAGAUUCACAGUUUCACAGAAUUUCAAAGAAAAAAUGAGCGUAAGACUGUACUUCUUAAAGAACAAUUUUCCCAUCUUCAUCAAAGGGAGGCUGCCGGGCAAAACACCCUAAGUGAAGUACUAAAAGUGGCUGAAAAGACAACUUUAGAAAGGGAUGCUGCUAAUGAAAUGGCAACAAUUGGAGAAGCAAUGCCAGUUGGUUUUCAGUGAAAAUGAAGUCUUAAUGAAACGUCAGGAGUUGCAAAAUCAAAAGUUAGAAGAGCUCACAGCAUUCUACUGUCAAUGAUAGCCGAAGAAAGUUGAGUGAAUUACGGGAAAAGACGCAAGAAGAAAUCAACUCCCUCGCUUCUCAGCUGCAGGGUCUGCGAAAUGAGAAUAACAAUCUGUCGAUGCAAUUAGCAGAUUGUAAGUUGGUUAAUGCGCAAUUAGAAACAGAGAUUCACAGUUUCACAGAAUUUCAAAGAAAAAAUGAGCGUAAGACUGUACUUCUUAAAGAACAAUUUUCCCAUCUUCAUCAAAGGGAGGCUGCCGGGCAAAACACCCUAAGUGAAGUACUAAAAGUGGCUGAAAAGACAACUUUAGAAAGGGAUGCUGCUAAUGAAAUGGCAACAAUUGGAGAAGCAAUGCCAGUUGGUUUUCAGUGAAAAUGAAGUCUUAAUGAAACGUCAGGAGUUGCAAAAUCAAAAGUUAGAAGAGCUCACAGCAUUCUACUGUCAAUGAUAG